rnacentral:rRNA from 1 species
GACGAACGCUGGCGGCGUGCCUAAUACAUGCAAGUUGAGCGCUGAAGGUUGGUACUUGUACCAACUGGAUGAGCAGCGAACGGGUGAGUAACGCGUGGGGAAUCUGCCUUUGAGCGGGGGACAACAUUUGGAAACGAAUGCUAAUACCGCAUAAAAACUUUAAACACAAGUUUUAAGUUUGAAAGAUGCAAUUGCAUCACUCAAAGAUGAUCCCGCGUUGUAUUAGCUAGUUGGUGAGGUAAAGGCUCACCAAGGCGAUGAUACAUAGCCGACCUGAGAGGGUUAUCCGCCACAAUGGGACUGAGACACGGCCCAAACUCCUACGGGAGGCAGCAGUAGGGAAUCUUCGGCAAUGGACGAAAGUCUGACCGAGCAACGCCGCGUGAGUGAAGAAGGUUUUCGGAUCGUAAAACUCUGUUGGUAGAGAAGAACGUUGGUGAGAGUGGAAAGCUCAUCAAGUGACGGUAACUACCCAGAAAGGGACGGCUAACUACGUG